AUGCGCGUGAUGGUCAGAGGACAACUCUGGGGAGUUGGUUCUCUCCGUUCACCAUGUGGUGUGGUCUCUAGGGAUUGAAUCAGGUCACCAGUCUUGGUGGCAAGCACCUUUACCCUCUGUGGCAUCUUGACCACUGGGUUACAGAGAAUUUAGAACACAAGAUAAAGAUGUCAGGAGGAGGAGGAGGCAGCUGACUGGGAUCUGUUCAUUCACCCUGUAGGUGACUAUUACAGCGCAUCUGAAUGCCCAUGACAGACAUGUUUCUGGCCUCAUAGAACCUCUGUGCAGCCGGGGGAAGACAAAUCAUUGUGAGACGCUUUGGUCUGACAACAGAAAAACCGAGAGUUGAGGGGACUUCAGAGUUUGGUGGAAAGCCAGCUAGACUGGCUUCCCCUUUUAAAGCAUUCAGACAGACGUGGGAGAAAGUAAGGGGCUUCCAUGAGUUCGGGAGGAAAGUCCUUCUUAGCAGAGAAGAGCGAUGUUGAAGAUUGCAUCAGCAGGAACUUCGUCACCGAGGAACUGGCGAGAACAAACAGCUGGAGUGAGGUGGGGUGAAAAAGUAGACCCAGGAGCUACCUACCGAGCCACUCGCUCUGGGGACAAGCUGGAUGAGACAGACAGCUGACUGAGCUUCCAGCAGAGGAGGGGCAGACUUGACCUUCAUCUCAGAAGGGUCACUGAAGCUGGAGUGUUCUUUAUCCCCCCCCCCCCCCCCCGGGAAGCAACAUCAGGAACAGAUACCACGGAAGGCUAGUGAAACAAAAGAAGCCGGCAAUGCUUUCAAGUUUAGCCGCUUUGGGGGGGAAGCGUUCUAGGGAAGCGUUUGGAGAGCCUGAAACUCCGAGGAUGGGCAUCCUUGUGUUGGAAACUGGAGCUCCCGAGCGUUGGGAAAACUGCAAAGUGGGUUCAGCUGCUGCCAAGGAAGGCGCUGCUGAUGCCAGGGUGAAGAAGUGUUGCCAGGGCGACGUUACAGGAACAGGAAGCCAAUAGAAAUAAGCAAGCCCCUUCUUCCUGCUGCUGCGUUCCCAGCAUCUGCCCUGCGCUCUUCCCUGGCAGCGCAAAGCGGAAAGCAACCGUGGUCUUCCGAGCCAGCUCCAGCAUCACGCACGGCACGGAUAGAAGGUGAAUGUGACAUGAAGAGGCAAUCGCUGAGCUAACAAAAACACGGAUUAACAUAAAUGAAGGGAAUGUACAAGUUUCCAGAACUAGAGAAUUCAGUUGAGAAGUGAGCCUGCUGGAAGAAUGACACUGUUUAACAUAGUAGGGCCAUUUGGAGGCUGAAGAGGUGGCUCAGCAGUUAAGAACGCUGGGCUGCACUUUCAGGGGACCGGGCUUCAGUUCCCAGCACCAACUAUACGUGACUCCAGUUCCAGAGGAAAUGAUAACCUCUCCUGGCCUCCACAGUCAUUGUAUGUUCAAGGUGCAUACACUCACAAGGCAAACAAAACACCUACUCAAAUAAAAU
rnacentral:lncRNA from 1 species